AACGAACGCUGGCGGCAUGCCUAACACAUGCAAGUCGAACGAGACCUUCGGGUCUAGUGGCGCACGGGUGCGUAACGCGUGGGAACCUGCCCUUAGGUUCGGAAUAACUCCCCGAAAGGGGUGCUAAUACCGGAUAAUGUCUUCGGACCAAAGAUUUAUCGCCCUUGGAUGGGCCCGCGUUGGAUUAGCUAGUUGGUAGGGUAAAAGCCUACCAAGGCGACGAUCCAUAGCUGGUCUGAGAGGAUGAUCAGCCACACUGGGACUGAGACACGGCCCAGACUCCUACGGGAGGCAGCAGUGGGGAAUAUUGGACAAUGGGCGAAAGCCUGAUCCAGCAAUGCCGCGUGAGUGAUGAAGGCCUUAGGGUUGUAAGGCUCUUUUACCCGGGAUGAUAAUGACAGUACCGGGAGAAUAAGCUCCGGCUAACUCCGUG
rnacentral:rRNA from 1 species